rnacentral:rRNA from 1 species
UACGAAGGGGGCUAGCGUUGUUCGGAAUUACUGGGCGUAAAGCGCACGUAGGCGGACUAUUAAGUCAGGGGUGAAAUCCCGGGGCUCAACCCCGGAACUGCCUUUGAUACUGGUAGUCUCGAGUCCGGAAGAGGUGAGUGGAAUUCCGAGUGUAGAGGUGAAAUUCGUAGAUAUUCGGAGGAACACCAGUGGCGAAGGCGGCUCACUGGUCCGGUACUGGAACGGCUGAGGUGCGAAAAGCGUGGGGAGCAACAGGG